GACGAACGCUGGCGGCGUGCCUAAUACAUGCAAGUAGAACGCAGUUGCGAACGGGUGAGUAACGCAUAGGUAACUGCCUGGUACCGGGGGAUAACUAAUGGAAACGAUAGCUAAUACACCAUACUACCAGAUGGACCUGCGUUGUAUUAGCUAGUUGGUGAGGUAACGGCCAACCAAGGCAACGAUACAUAGCCGACCUGGACAGGGGGUCGGCCACACGGGGGAUGGGAACCGGGCCAGACUCCUAAGGGAGGCAACAGUAAGGAAUCUUCGGCAAUGGGGGGAACGCUGAACGAGCAACGCCGCGUUAGUGAAGAAGGGUUUCGGAUCGUAAAGCUCUGUUGUUAAGGAAGCGGUACUUAACCAGAAAGGGACGGCUAACUACGUGCCAGCAGCCGCGGUAAUUC
rnacentral:rRNA from 1 species